rnacentral:pre_miRNA from 1 species
AUUCAGGCCGGUCCUGCAGAGAGGAAGCCCUUCUGCUUCCAGGUAUUGGAAGGGCUUCCUCUCUGCAGGACCGGCCUGAAU